GAGUCGGUGGUGCGACGGUUAGCAUACGCUCCCAGAAAGUGUGUGAUCUGGGUUUGAAUCCCGGCUGACGCA